rnacentral:piRNA from 1 species
ACCGAACUCAGCAAUAGCAGAUGU